UGAGGUCUUGGAAGUUCUUAUCAUA
rnacentral:piRNA from 1 species